CCUACGGGAGGCAGCAGUAGGGAAUUUUGCGCAAUGGGGGAAACCCUGACGCAGCAACGCCGCGUGAUCGAUGAAGCCCUUCGGGGUGUAAAGAUCUGUCAGUGGGGACGAAACCUGACGGUACCCACAGAGGAAGCACCGGCUAACUCCGUGCCAGCAGCCGCGGUAAUACGGGGGGUGCAAGCGUUGUCCGGAAUCAUUGGGCGUAAAGAGUUCGUAGGUGGCACGUUAAGUCUGGUGUUAAAGGCGGAAGCUCAACUUCCGUAGGGCACUGGAUACUGGCGAGCUUGAAUGCGGUAGAGGUAAAGGGAAUUCCUGGUGUAGCGGUGAAAUGCGUAGAUAUCAGGAGGAACAUCGGUGGCGUAAGCGCUUUACUGGGCCGUAAUUGACACUGAGGAACGAAAGCCGGGGUAGCAAAUGGGAUUAGAUACCCUUGUAGUC
rnacentral:rRNA from 1 species